AAUCUUGCGCAAUGGGCGAAAGCCUGACGCAGCCAUGCCGCGUGAAUGAUGAAGGUCUUAGGAUUGUAAAAUUCUUUCACCGGGGACGAUAAUGACGGUACCCGGAGAAGAAGCCCCGGCUAACUUCGUGCCAGCAGCCGCGGUAAUACGAAGGGGGCUAGCGUUGCUCGGAAUUACUGGGCGUAAAGGGCGCGUAGGCGGAUCGUUAAGGCAAAGGUGGAAUCCCAGGGCUCAACCCUGGAACUGCCUUUGGUACUGGCGAUCUUGGAUAUGGAAGGGGUAUGUGGAACUCCGGGUGUAGAGGUGAAAUUCGUAGAUAUUCGGAAGAACACCAGUGGCGAAGGCGACAUACUGGCUCAUUACUGACGCUGAGGCGCGAAAGCGUGGGGAGCAAACAG
rnacentral:rRNA from 1 species